CCUACGGGAGGCAGCAGUGAGGAAUAGUGGGCAAUGGACGGAAGUCGGAACCAGCCAGGCCGCGUGCAGGAUGAAGGCGCGAUGAGUUGUAAACUGCUUUUGUAUGAGGGUAAACACCCCUACGUGUAGGGGCUUGAAAGUAUAAUACGAAUAAGGAUCGGCUAACUCCGUGCCAGCAGCCGCGGUAAUACGGAGGAUCCAAGCGUUAUCCGGAUUUAUUGGGUUUAAAGGGUGCGUAGGCGGGUUGAUAAGUUAGAGGUGAAAUACCGGUGCUCAACACCGGAACUGCCUCUAAUACUGUUGCACUAGAGUGUAGUUGCGGUAGGCGGCAUGUAUGGUGUAGCGGUGAAAUGCUUA
rnacentral:rRNA from 1 species